GAUGAACGCUGGCGGCGUGCUUAACACAUGCAAGUCGAGCGAAGCAGUUAAGAAGAUUCUUCGGAUGAUUCUUAACUGACUGAGCGGCGGACGGGUGAGUAACGCGUGGGUGACCUGCCCCAUACCGGGGGAUAACAGCUGGAAACGGCUGCUAAUACCGCAUAAGCGCACAGAGCUGCAUGGCUCGGUGUGAAAAACUCCGGUGGUAUGGGAUGGGCCCGCGUCUGAUUAGGCAGUUGGCGGGGUAACGGCCCACCAAACCGACGAUCAGUAGCCGGCCUGAGAGGGCGACCGGCCACAUUGGGACUGAGACACGGCCCAAACUCCUACGGGAGGCAGCAGUGGGGAAUAUUGCACAAUGGGGGAAACCCUGAUGCAGCGACGCCGCGUGAGCGAAGAAGUAUUUCGGUAUGUAAAGCUCUAUCAGCAGGGAA
rnacentral:rRNA from 1 species